rnacentral:rRNA from 1 species
GCCCGCUCAGAAACUCAAAGGAAUUGACGGGGAGCACCACAACAGGUGGAGCCUGCGGUUUAAUCGGACUCAACGCCGGGAAACUCACCAGAUAAGACAGCUGAAUGAUAGUCGGGCUGAAGACUCUACUUGACUAGCUGAGAGGAGGUGCAUGGCCGUCGUCAGUUCGUACUGUGAAGCAUCCUGUUAAGUCAGGCAACGAGCGAGACCCACGCCAACAGUUGCCAGCUCGUCCUCCGGGAUGGUGGGGACACUGUUGGGACCGCCUCUGCUAAAGAGGAGGAAGGAAUGGGCAACGGUAGGUCAGCAUGCCCCGAAUUAUCUGGGCUACACGCGGGCUACAAUGGGUGGGACAAUGGGUAUCGACACCGAAAGGUGAAGGCAAUCUCCUAAACCCAUCCGUAGUUCGGAUUGUGGGCUGCAACUCGCCCACAUGAAGCUGGAAUCUGUAGUAAUCGUGUCUCAAAAUGGCACGGUGAAUAUGUCCCUGCUCCUU